GAGCACUAGAUGGACCAGUAAGCAGCGUCUGGAGAAAUUGUGGUUGUAACAGAGGAGCAGCGUGCCCCUGGAGCACUAGAGCACUAAACAGCAUGUGGUGACACUGUGGUCAUCACGGAGGAGCAGUAGAUGGAGCAAGUAAGCAGCAUCUGGUGAAACUGUGGUUGUUACAAAGGAGCAGCGUGCCCCGGAGCAGUAGAUGGGGCAAUACCAUCUGGUGAAAUUGUGGUUGUCACAGAGGAGCAGCAGGCGCCCGGAGCAGUAGAUAGAGCACUAACUAGCAUCUGGUGAUAUUUUGGUUGUCACAGAGGAGCAGUGUGUCCCUGAAGAUAUAAAUGGAGCAGUAAGCAGCAUCUGGCGAAAUUUUUGUUGUCACAGAGGAGCAGCAUGCCCCCGAGCACUAUAAGGAGUAAUAGCAUAUGGUGAUAUUGUGGUUUAAAAGAAGAGCAGCGUGACCCCGGAGCAGUGUAUGGAGCGGGAGCAUCUGGUGAAAUUGUGGCUCUCACUUAGGGUCACCGUGUCCUUGGAGAAGUACAUGGAGCAGUGGCAUCUGGUGAAAUUUUGGUUGUCACAGAGGAGCAGCGUGCUGAUCGAGGGGUAAGCAGCAUCUAGUGAAACUGUGGUUGUCACAGAGGAGCAGCAUGUCCCCGGAGCAGUAUAAGGAGCAGUAGCAUCUGCUGAUAUUGUGGUUUAUCUGGAAAUAUUGUGGCUCACAAAGAGGAGCAGUGUGCCCACGGAGCAGUGUAUAGAGCAGUAGCAUCUGGUGAAAUUUUGGCUGUCACAGAGGGUUGUCGUUGUCACAGAACAGCAGCAUGCUGAUGGAGCUGUAAGCAGCAUUUGGUGAAAUUGUGAUUGUCACAGAGGAGCUGCAUGCACCUGGAGCAGUAUAAGGAGCAGGAGCAUCUGGUGAUAUUGUCGUUGUCACAGAGGAGCAGUAUGUUCCUGGAGAUAUAAAUGGAGCAGUAAGCAGCAUCUGGUGAAAUUGUGGUUGUCACAGAGGAGCAGUGUGUUCCCGGAGAUAUAGAUGGAGCACUAAGCAGCAUCUGGUGAAGUUUUUGUUUUCACAGAGGAGCAGCGUGUUCCUGGAGAUAUAAAUGGAGCAGUAAGCAGCAUCUGGUGAAACUGUGGUUGUCACAGAGGAGCAGCGUGUUCCCGGAGAUAUAGAUGGAGCAGUAAGCCGCAUGUCGUGGAAUUUUUGUUUUCACAGAGGAGCAGCGUGUUCCUGGAGAUGUAAAUGGAGCAGUAAGCAGCAUGUCGUGGAAUUUUUGUUUUCACAGAGGAGCAGCGUGUUCCUGGAGAUAUAAAUGGAGCAGCGAGCAGCCUCUGGUGAAAUUUUUGUUGUCACAGAGGAGCAGCCUACCCCCGCAGCAGUAUGAGGAGUAAUAGCAUAUGGUGAUAUUGUGGUUUAAAAAGAGGAGCAGUGUAUGGAGCUGUAGCAUUUGUUGAAGUGACUGUCACAUAGGGUCACUGUGUCCUUGGAGAAUUACAUGGAGCAGUGGCAUCUGGUGAAAUUGUCAUUGUCACAAAGGAGCAGUGCGCCCCUGGAGCUGUAUAAGGAGCAAUAGCCUCUGGUGAUAUUGUGGUUGUCACAGAGGAGCAGUGUGCCCCAGAGCAGUAGCUGGAGCACUAAGUAGCAUCUGUUGAUAUUUUGGUUGUCACAGAGGAGCAGUAUGUCCCUGGAGAUAUAAAUGGAGUAGUAAAGAGCAUGUGGUGAAAUUUUUGUUUUCACAGAGGAGCACCAUUGUCCCGGAGAUAUAGAUAUAGAUAUAGAGAUAUAGAUUUUGUAGUAAGCGGCAUGCGGUGAAAUUUUUGUUGUCGCAGUUGAGCAGCGUGCCCCCAGAUCUGUGGAUGGAGAAGUAAUCAGCGUCUGGUGGAAUUUUCAUUGUCACAGAGGAGCAGCGUGUCCUGGAGCAGGAUAUGUAGCUUUAUGUAGCAUCUGGUGAUAUUUUGGUUUUCACAGAGAAGGAUCAUGUUCCCAGAGAUAUGGAUGGAGCAGUAAGCAGCAUCUGGUCAAAUUUUUAUUGUCACAGAGGAGCAGAGUGCCCCCGGAGCAGUAGAUGGAGGAGUAGCAUCUGGUGAAACUGUGGUUGUCACAGAGGAACAGUGUGCCCUUGGAGCAGGAGAUGGAGCAGUAGCAUCUGGUGAAAUUGUGGUUCAUCUGGAAAUAUUGUGGUUGACAAAGAGGAGCAGUGUGCCCCCGCAGUAGCAUAUAGAGCAGUAGCAUCUGAUGAAAUUGUGGCUGUUCCAGAGGGUCAUCCUGUCCUUGGAGCAGUACAUGGAGCAGUGGCAUCUGGUGAAAUUGUGGUUGUCACAGAGGAGCAGCAUGCUGAUGGAGGUAUAAGCAACAUCUGGUGUAAUUGUGGUUGUCACAAAGGAGCUGCAUGCCCCCGGAGCAGUAUAAGGAACAGUAGCAUCUGGUGAUACUGUCAUUGUCACAGAGAAGCAGUAUGUCCCUGGAGAUAUAAUGGAGCAGUAAGCAGUAUCUGAUGAAAUUUUUGUUUUCUCAGAGGAGCACCAUGGUCCCAGAGAUAUAGAUGGAGGAGUAAGCAGCAUCUGGUGAAAUUUUUGUUGUCACAGUGGAGCAGCGUGCCCCCAGAUCAGUGGACGGAGAAUUAAUCUGCAUCUGGUGGAAUUUUGGUUGUCACAGAGGAGCAGCGUGUCCUGGAGCGGUAUAUGUAGAUUUAAAUAGCAUCUGGUGAUAUUUUGGUUUUCACGGAGGAGCAGCAUGUUCCCAGAGAUAUAGAGAGAGUAGUAAGCAGCAUUUGGUGACAUUUUUGUUGUCACAGAGGAGCUGGGUGCCCCGGGAGCAGAAGAUGGAGCCUUAGUAUCUUGUCAAAUUAUGUUUGUCACGGAGGAGCAGAGUUCACCCUGAGCAGGAGAUGGAGCAGUAGCAUCUGGUGAAAUUGUCAUUAUCACAGAGGAGGAGCAUGUCCCCUCAGCAGAAGAUGGAGCCACAGCAUCUAGUGAAAUUAUGCUUGUCAUAGAGGAGAAGCCCUUUCCUGGAGCAGUGUAAGGAGUAAUAGCCUCUGGUGAUACUGUGGUUGUCACAGAGGAGAAGCGUGCCCCCACAGCAGUGUAUGAAGCAGUACCAUCUGUGGAAAUUGUGGUUUUCCCAGAGGCUCACCGUGUCCCUUGAGUAGUACAUGAAGUUGUGGCAACUUCAUCUGGUGAAAUUGUGGUUGUCACAGAGGAGCAGCGUGUCCCUGGAUCAGUAGAUGGAGAAGUAGCAUCUGGUAAAAUUGUGGUUGUCACAGAGGAACAGCAUCUCUCUGGAGCAUUAGAUGGAGCAGUAGCAUCUGUUGAAAUUGUGGUUGUCACAGAGCAACAGCGUGCCUCCAGAGCAGUAGAUGGAAGCAGUAGGAUCUGGUAAAAUUUUGGUUGUUACAGAGGAGCAGUCUGCCUCCAGAACAGUAGGUGGAGCAGUAGCAUCGGGUGCAAUCCUGGUUUUUUCCAGAGAAGAAGCAUCCCAUCGGAGCAGCUGGUGGAGCAGUAGGAGUGGUACCCAUCAUCGUUGUGCAGGAAGAGGGCAUCCAGAUUCAAUGAGAUCUCAAUCAAAAUCUGAGGAUGUCAUUUUUUGGAUGACAAUAAAUUACUUCUGAAUUUUAAAUGAAAAAGUAAAAGACCUAGAAUAAUCCAUAGAACAUUCAAUAAUGAAGUUGGAGGACUGAUAUUACCAGACUUCAAGACUUACAACAAAGCUACAGUAAACAAGACAGCAUGGUAUUGGCAAAAGAAUAGACAAAUAGACCAAUGGAAUAGAAUGGAGAGCCCCAAAAUAGAUCCAUGUAAAAUACAGACAACUGAUAUUUGACAAAGGAGGAAAGGCAAUUUAAUGGAGAAAAGAGUCUUCAAUAUAUGGUGCUAGAACAACCGGAAAUACAAAUAGAAAAAAUGACACAUGCCUUAUAUCUUUUAUAAAAAUUAACUUAAAAUGGAUCUUAAAUUGUAAAUGUAAAAUGUAAAACUAUAGGACAUCUACUGGAUAACUUGAGACUGUAGGUGACUUUGAGUUUGGUGAUGAUACAACACCAAAAGCAUAAUCCAUGGGGAGGGGGUAAACUUAGCAAGCUGGACUUGAUUAC